GUGAAUCAUCAAAUCUUUGAACGCAAAUUGCACUCUCCUCGGAGAGUAUGCCUGUUUGAUGGUUAGCCUAUAAACAUCGACAUCUUUGCUCUUUCGCUUUGGCGUUCGUCGGAAAUUGGGUCAUCUUAAUUCCUUUUGUUUUAAGUGACUUAUUAUUUUCUUUUGGUUCCAUGAACGUUUCUUAUAUUUAGUUCUUUACACGUUUACGCUAUCUAUUUUUAUUAGACGCUACCAUCAUAUCGGAUCGC
rnacentral:misc_RNA from 1 species